rnacentral:rRNA from 1 species
AGGUUUCCUGCGCAACGUUCAUCGGCGCAGGGUGAGUCGGCCCCUAAGGCGAGGCAGAGAUGCGUAGUCGAUGGGAAGCUGGUUAAUAUUCCAGCACCGAUUGUUGAUGCGAUGGGGGGACGGAGAAAGCUAACCGAGCUGAGUGUUGGAUUACUCAGUGAAAGCCUGUAGACGUGCUGCUUAGGUAAAUCCGGGCGGCUUAGUUGAGGGGUGAGACGAAACGCUCUUCGGAGUGCCAAGUCGGCGAUGCUCUGCUUCCAAGAAAAGCCUCUAAGCUUCAGUCAACAAUUGACCGUACCGCAAACCGACACUGGUGGGUAGGAUGAAAAUUCUAAGGCGCUUGAGAGAACUCUGGAGAAGGAACUCGGCAAAUUGAUACCGUAACUUCGGGAGAAGGUAUGCCCUGGUAGAUUGUAGGAGUACAUCCGAAGGUCGAGAGGGUCGCAGAGAAUCGGUGGCUGCAACUGUUUACCAAAAACACAGGACUCUGCUAACACGAAAGUGGAUGUAUAGGGUCUGACGCCUGCCCGGUGCUGGAAGAUUAAAUGAUGGGGUGCAAGCUCUUGAUUGAAGUCCCAGUAAACGGCGGCCGUAACUAUAACGGUCCUAAGGUAGCGAAAUUCCUUGUCGGGUAAGUUCCGACCCGCACGAAUGGCGUAAUGAUGGCCACACUGUCUCCUCCAGAGACUCAGCGAAGUUGAAGUGUUUGUGAUGAUGCAAUCUCCCCGCGGCAAGACGGAAAGACCCCAUGAACCUUUACUGUAGCUUUGCAUGGGACUGUGACGAUGUUUGUGUAGGAUAGCUGGGAGGCUUUGAAACCGGGACGCUAGUUUCGGUGGAGCCAACGUUGAAAUACCAGCCUGAUGGCGUUGCGGUUCUAACCUGGCCCCCUGAAUCGGGGGUGGGGACAGUGCAUGGUGGGCAGUUUGACUGGGGCGGUCUCCUCCUAAAAGGUAACGGAGGAGCUCGAAGGUGCGCUCAGCGCGGUCGGAAAUCGCGCUACUGGAGUGUAAUGGCACAAGCGCGCUUGACUGCGAGACUGACAAGUCGAGCAGGUACGAAAGUAGGACAUAGUGAUCCGGUGGUUCUGUAUGGAAGGGCCAUCGCUCAACGGACAAAAGGUACUCUGGGGAUAACAGGCUGAUACCGCCCAAGAGUUCAUAUCGACGGCGGUGUUUGGCACCUCGAUGUCGGCUCAUCUCAUCCUGGGGCUGUAGCCGGUCCCAAGGGUAUGGCUGUUCGCCAUUUAAAGAGGUACGUGAGCUGGGUUCAAAACGUCGUGAGACAGUUUGGUCCCUAUCUGCCGUGGGCGCUGGAGAUUUGAGAGGGCCUGCUCCUAGUACGAGAGGACCGGAGUGGACGCACCCCUGGUGUACCGGUUGUGACGCCAGUCGCAUCGCCGGGUAGCUAUGUACGGAAGAGAUAACCGCUGAAAGCAUCUAAGCGGGAAACUCGCCCGAAGAUUAGAUUUCCCCGGGGGCUCGACCCCCCUGAAGAGCCGUUCAAGACCAGGACGUUGAUAGGUCAGGUGUGGAAGCGCAGUAAUGCGUUGAGCUAACUGAUACUAAUUACUCGUGCGGCUUGAUCCU